UGUUAAUAAGGGCUAGUCUGCUUAGUUUCAGUCCUCAUUCAGGCACGUACAACUAGAUCCUCAUUUGUGUUUGACUGUCCUGGAGACAGUAUGUGCAAGGUUACAUAAUAUAUAGCUUCUCCUUCAGACCAAGUACAAUUAAAACAGAGGUAAAGACAGAAUUAGCCAAUUCACCCUUAAUAAAGCUCCACUCUGUAUAUUUACCUGCACAAAAAAUAUCCAUUAAAAUGCAGCUUGUUUCAGUUAACUGAAAACAGGUAAGUUUUAAAAAAUUAGAGGGCAAAAUAAGUGGGUAGACUUUAUACUUGUUACACAACAAGGAACUAAUAAUCCUUCUGCCUUCCUUGAGAGAGAGUCAGGGGUUCAGUAGCUUUAUGUGGGAUGACUGUCAUCAUUUGUUGUACUGUGGUGCUUGCAGGCUCCAGCUGAGAGGAGGGUCCCACUGUGCUGCACAGAAACAGGGAGGCAAUCCCUGCCCCAAAGCAUUUACAGUCGGAGGCUGCAAGGGUACAAGGGCCGUGACGGUCUGCGCUCCUCUGCUAAAUACCUGGGUCCCAGCACAAUGGCGGUGGCUGAGCUGAGUUUUCCUGGAUGUCCUUCGCUGUCAGUCUAUUUAGCAGGACUUUGAGGUCAAGGUGCCCUACAUCUUAGGGCCCAUGCUAACAUUUCAGUCAUAUGAAGAAAGGAAUAGAGUGCUACAUGCUGUUGUAUACUUACAGAGCCUCCUUUUUAUAGAUCAUGAAAGUGGCUCCUGGACUCCAGAUGCUGUGGAGUCAGUAAAGGAGGUCUGUGUGCUGUGGAAUUGGCAGCUGGAAUUUCCGAAAACRUCCAUCACAAUUUUUGCAGCACCACUGAGCAUCCUGGCCUGA
rnacentral:lncRNA from 1 species